UACGGAGGAUGCGAGCGUUAUCCGGAUUUAUUGGGUUUAAAGGGUGCGCAGGCGGAUUUUUAAGUCAGCGGUCAAAUCGUGGGGCUCAACCCCAUCCAGCCGUUGAAACUGGCAGACUUGAGUUGGCGAGAAGUACGCGGAAUGCGCGGUGUAGCGGUGAAAUGCAUAGAUAUCGCGCAGAACUCCGAUUGCGAAGGCAGCGUACCGGCGCCACACUGACGCUGAGGCACGAAAGCGUGGGGAUCGAACAGG
rnacentral:rRNA from 1 species